UCGAUACAUAGCGAUUUCAAAAUUAAUGGUGACGACAGGAGGGAGACUUAUGUACAUGCGCUGCAGCGAGUUUGGUUUCCUCUCUGUGAUCUGCUCCGCCGAAAAUAUCUCAGGCUGUGGAGUUGCUCUUCUUGAAGGAAGGAUAUCACCAUUCAAUUCGAUUGCGGAUGCCCAUCAUGAAUCAAUGAUGGUGGAUAAAAGAAGAAGGUAGUGGUGGGUUAGAUUCUGAGGGAUGGAAGGAGUACAGAGAGGAGGGAGCAGAUGGAGGAGAACGGCUAGGUUUAAGGGGAUGGGAUGCUGCGGGGCCUCAUGGAGCUCAAAGCGUCGGAUAUGGCAAUAGGAGAGAGCGACGACAAGGAGGUGGAGGAGCCGAUUGCAGGGAGAAGAAUCGACGGGAAAUCCGUUUGGUUUUCUUGCGAUUCCUCCUGUUUGGUCGUUUAUUUCUUUAAACAUAUAUAUUCUCUGUAGCGCACCCUCCUCCCUUGGAUAUCGUCACCGUUAAUUUUGUAAUCAUCAUGUGUCGAUCAUCUGGAGAUCUAUAGGACAACAGUGUGCUACAGACGAGCCAGAUCCGA